rnacentral:rRNA from 1 species
UACGUAGGGGACCGAGCGUUUGUCCGGAAUCAUUGGGCGUAAAGAGCGUGUAGGCGGCUCGCUAAGUCUUGCGUGAAAUCUCGGGGCUCAACCCCGAGCGGUCGUGAGAAACUGGCGGGCUAGAGUGCGGGAGAGGAGAGUGGAAUUCCUGGUGUAGCGGUGAAAUGCGCAGAUAUCAGGAAGAACACCCGUGGCGAAGGCGGCUCUCUGGAACGCAACUGACGCUGAGACGCGAAAGCGUGGGGAGCAAACAGG